rnacentral:sRNA from 1 species
GGAGGGAGAUGAGGCUGCAGUGGAAGCACUGAUGGCCAGGGCGGUUUCGGCUGAUCUGGCUGGCUCGACACAUGCCCUGUCUUUUCUCACCCUUCAAGGGCGUUCCUUCUCAGCUGACGAAGAUGAGCUUCUCAGACAGAAGAUCACUUUUGGGUAAAAGGAUGUGCUGUCUCCCCAGUCCUCCUAGAGCCCAUGUAUGCUCAUGCACAUAUGCAUGUAUACACACACACACACUUGU